UCUUUCGGUCCGACUUUUUCUCUGUUUGUCAGAACAUUGCAGCAACUAAAAUGUGACCUCUCAGCUGCAGACGUGGAGCCAAUCCCUGAAGCCAUUUCCAUCAUCAGCUGCGACCUGAUUGGAGAAUCGGCUAACUGAGGCAUCUCC